GCCAGUGUGGUGUAGUGGUUUGUGUGUUGGACUACAACUCUGGAGACCCUGGAGACCAGGGUUCAGUUCCCAGCUUGGCCA